AUUGAACGCUGGCGGAAUGCUUUACACAUGCAAGUCGAACGGCAGCACGGACUUCGGUCUGGUGGCGAGUGGCGAACGGGUGAGUAAUACAUCGGAACGUGCCCAAUCGUAGGGGAUAACGUAGCGAAAGCUACGCUAAUACCGCAUACGAUCUAAGGAUGAAAGCGGGGGAUCGCAAGACCUCGCGCGAUUGGAGCGGCCGAUGGCAGAUUAGGUAGUUGGUAGGGUAAAGGCCUACCAAGCCGACGAUCUGUAGCUGGUCUGAGAGGAUGAUCAGCCACACUGGGACUGAGACACGGCCCAGACUCCUACGGGAGGCAGCAGCGGGGAAUUUUGGACAAUGGACGCAAGUCUGAUCCAGCCAUUCCGCGUGCAGGAUGAAGGCCCUCGGGUUGUAAACUGCUUUUGUACAGAACGAAAAGGCUCUGGUUAAUACCUAGGGCUCAUGACGGUACUGUAAGAAUAAGCACCGGCUAACUACGUGCCAGCCGCCGCGGUAA
rnacentral:rRNA from 1 species